rnacentral:rRNA from 1 species
CUUGGUAGGCGUCUGCGUUUCAUGCAGUCGAGCGGCAGCGACACAUUGACCCUUCGGGUGAUUUGUUGGGCGGCGAGCGGCGGACGGGUGAGUAAUGCCUGGGAAUAUGCCCUGAUGUGGGGGAUAACCAUUGGAAACGAUGGCUAAUACCGCAUAAUCUCUUCGGAGCAAAGAGGGGGACCUUCGGGCCUCUCGCGUCAGGAUUAGCCCAGGUGAGAUUAGCUUGUUGGUGAGGUAAGAGCUCACCAAGGCAACGAUCUCUAGCUGGUCUGAGAGGAUGAUCAGCCACACUGGAACUGAGACACGGUCCAGACUCCUACGGGAGGCAGCAGUGGGGAAUAUUGCACAAUGGGGGAAACCCUGAUGCAGCCAUGCCGCGUGUAUGAAGAAGGCCUUCGGGUUGUAAAGUACUUUCAGUUGUGAGGAAGGCGUAUGCGUUAAUAGCGUAUGUGUUUGACGUUAGCAACAGAAGAAGCACCGGCUAACUCCGUGCCAGCAGCCGCGGUAAUACGGAGGGUGCGAGCGUUAAUCGGAAUUACUGGGCGUAAAGCGCAUGCAGGCGGCUUGUUAAGCCAGAUGUGAAAGCCCGGGGCUCAACCUCGGAAUAGCAUUUGGAACUGGCAGGCUAGAGUCUUGUAGAGGGGG